UCCACUUCGUCUUCUCCGAUUAGGUUUAGCAAGUCCCCUAUCUCCUCCGCCAAGUCUCACGUAGACUUGAAAAACUCUUCGGUAACGUCUUCUUCCGAUGUUGUUGCGUAAUCAGCCUUCGACGCUCUCCGCCUCGGUAGAUCGUCGCAGUUCAUUGUUGCUUGGCUUCUCCGUUUUUGGGACUCGGAAAACAUCAAGAAGUAUGAUUGUCUCUCAUCACACUGCAAGGAACCAUAUGAAGUCAAAGAAGGCAAAUAAGAGUUUGAUUUCAAGGUGGUCACCGAGACCGUUCCAAUAUGAGCGUGAUUAUGUCCCAUUGAGCUCUAUGGCUUGGCCAAAGACGAGUCUGAUUACGGAUGAUGCACAACAAGCUUCAAGAUAGAUAACAGUGACCUUAGAGAAAGGAGGCAAGCCUACUGUUAGAGUUGCUAGCCUUGGCCACGCGUUGCAUGUCUGUCUCAAUUGAGAAUACCUUGGUAAGAUGUGAGAUUGAGAAGGUACAUAGCUAGAUGUUCUCACAAAAAUUAUGUGCUAACAAAAACAUUCAAGUUUGAUGAUGAAAUCUGUGAUUUUCUUGUGUGUCAACAGGAUAGUGUGUCUUAUCUGGAGCAUAGAUUCACAUGUCACACGUAGUGUUUCCAUCUUAGGGUUGAGCUCUGGACCACUUGAUCUCACUGAGAAAAGCAAAUGGGGAAACAAGGUGGGUAUUGAAGGCUAGAAGCUCUAUAUUCACACGAGGAAGGAUAGAAGAAGGUUAAGUGGCAGAAAUUCUCAGGAAAAGCACCAGGACUUACCUGGUAUCAGGCAUACUUUGAUGCGCCAGGGGUUUAGUAAUAUUAAGUUUUCUUUUUCCAUCUGAAGAAAAAUCUUUAACGAAACAAGGAAAAUAAAUUAACAUUAUAGACUGCAUACUGGGAAAGUUGAUAACACUGAAACAUCACAUGAGUGGUGCUAUAUCUCAUGUUCCAAGAGCUCCUGGAAACUGCAGCGUGGGCUUUUAUCUGUCGUGUGUGGAUCCUAUCAUGAUGAAA